UACGUAAGGUCCGAGCGUUGUCCGGAAUCAUUGGGCGUAAAGGGUACGUAGGCGGAUAAGCAAGUUAGAAGUGAAAUCCUAUAGCUCAACUAUAGUAAGCUUUUAAAACUGCUCAUCUUGAGGUAUGGAAGGGAAAGUGGAAGUCCUAGUGUAGCGGUGAAAUGCGCAGAUAUUAGGAGGAAUACCAGUGGCGAGGGCGACUAUCUGGCCAUAUACCGACACUGAGGGACGAAAGCGUGG
rnacentral:rRNA from 1 species